AGGCGGAGGCGGGGGGCGUUCCUGGCAGGAUCAUGCACAGGGCAGAGGGGCCAGAAGCCUCUGAGCCGAUGGCCCCUGGGGCCCUGGCUGGAAGUGGUGGCAGGUGAAGGCCAGACAAGGUGCAGGAUGGGGGUGCCUGGAUGGCCUGGUCUUGGUUUCAGCUCCGUGGGUGAGAAGCACCAUGACAGGAUACUGGAUUUGGAGGAUCCGUUUCCUCCGCCUUGAAACACAGCUUUCGGGGUUGACUGUUGCUCCCAGGAGUCAUGAGCAUCCGGCAUGAGCACGAGCGUGAACCCGCUUUCAAGCUGUAAAGCUCCCAGCACAGCUGAGCCUUGGAAAAAUUCAGGAGAGGCAGAGAAAUCCUGGCAGCUGGGAAACAGCCCCGCCAAGGCCGCCCCCUCUCGCGGAUGCCCAGCAGCAGAGGGGAUGAGAGCCUGGAGGGGCAGGUCAGGGGAGAGGCUGGUUCUCUUGCUUUCCUUCCAACGAGAAAAGGGGUGACUGUCCCUCAGCCAGGCUCCCUGGCCUGGGGCAGCAUCCACAUUUCAUCACUGCCCCCGGUUGAGACCCCCCCAGCCCCGCUCCCUCCUGGCCCUGUAGAACUUGGUGCACACCUGGCCAACGAUGGAUGCAUUUCCCACUCGCUGACAAAGACAAGACUCAGUGCCUGCCCUGGAGGGGUAGUGUGGAGCAUGGGGCGACACCAGUGCCCAGGGCCAGGAAAUGUCCCUAAACCCCCAGGAGGCCCGAGGAGGGGAUGCGCCCAUCCAGACCCUCCAGGAGGUUUGUGGCCUCUGAAGUCAGUCCGCUCCUUCACUGUCACCAGGGCCUGUUCCUGAGGCAGGGCUGCUGCCCACCCUCCCACCACCAAGAGGUCCCAGAUGCUGAGCUGGGUCUGCAAAGUCCAGCCCUUCCCCACUUUCAGCUACUUGUGUGACCUCUUGUUUCAAGGAUGGGAGCCCGUGGAAUGGCCACUGGCAGCCCCCACAGCUACGCCCUCUCUUCGUCAUGGAGCCACAACCAGGAGCUGUCACCAGGGGCGCGUGGAGGUGGCUGCAGUACGGGAGAGGGGACGUCGCGGCUGCUUUCUGCGCCUCUUGGCUGGUGGUUGCAGAGCACUGCCCCUGUCUGGGAGAAACACGGUGUCCCCCACUUUUAUUGGGUGUCACUGUGCCUGAGUCCUGGAUCCAGACAGACCUUAUUUCAUCUGAUCCUCUCCACCAAUCCCGGAGACAGGCAUCUUAGUGUCCAUUUUACAGAUGGGGACACAAAGCAUAAACAGCUGUCCCAGGCCACACGGUCCACAGAGAGAGAACUUCCCUGAGUUCUCUCCACACUCAGGUCCUGGGACCAUUUCUGCCAGGAGGGAAGCCUCCACUCGGCCGCUGGUGCCUGAGCAAGGGGCGUCUAUGCCUGAGUCCACCUGACUUCUUAUCCAGGGAGCAGGGACCUUGGGGGUCAAGUGCGCACUGGGUCAUUGGCCUGGGUCUGACUCCUAUCCCCUGUGCUGGACUCAGCCUCACAGAAGGGCAGGCCAUGUCUGCCUGGUCACUGUGUGGACUGGAUAAGCCUGAAGCCAGGGGUGCCAGGCUGAGGCCUGGGGUGAGGAGGGCCACUGAGCGAGAUUCCAAAUCCAGGGUCAGAAACACAGGCUGAUGCACUGUAGGUGACUCAUGGCCGUGAGCUCACUGUGCUUAUGGUCGUGACUAAGCUGGGACCAGAAGCCAGGAGCCCAGAGUCCCCAUCAGGCUCCCGGAACAGACUCCAUUCCUGUUUGGGAAAGAGCAUCUGGGGCUGGGGUGUCCAGCCACCCUCGGGUGCUCCUCCCUCCCUCCUGGCCUUCCUGGGACCAGGCCACCUUCUCCCAGGUUGGCUGGAGCUGGGCAGCCAGGGUCAGGCCGGGCACACUGACCGCCUCCCUUUGUCCUCUCCAGGCCACAGAGUCUGUGGAGGCUGUGGACGAGGUGCCCUGUGCUUCUGUCGUCAGCAGGGCCAGUGCUUUAGGUGACAGGUAUCUCUGCCGCCUGCUGGCCCUUUGGGCUGGGUACACAGUGGGGCUCGGGAAUUGUGCUAGGCCCGGGAGUGGCUCCAGAGAGGAGCUUGGGCCUCCAGGUCCUGUGUGCCUCUUGACCAAAAGCCCUGGUGCUGGAGGAGAGUCGGAGCUAACUCCGGGCUCGGGGAACACCCGGGCAGACACUGGUGCUUGCCAUCGGAUGGCAAAAGCGACCCACCCGCUGACUCCAGGAGUCAGGGGGGCUUAGGAAGGAGGGCCAGGACCUGAAGGGAGGAGUAGGGCAGGCGCAAGUGGCAGAGAGAAAGGCACAAGGCAAGGUCUUUGAGGUCGGUGGUGAAAACGUGUGUGGGGGACAAGCGCUCAGAGGGGGCCCAUGACCUGCAGACCCAGGACCGCCUGGCAGGGAGCCCUGCCUCUUCCCCUCCUGAGCCUGCGGGAAAAUCAGUUUUCUCCUAUUCCUGACUCAGGAGUGUCAGGGACCUGCAGAGGGACAAGGGUCUCCAGGGCUCAGAAGAGGGUGUAGGUCAGACGUGGG
rnacentral:lncRNA from 1 species